rnacentral:rRNA from 1 species
AAAGGAAUUGACGGGGGCCCGCACAAGCGGAGGAGCAUGUGGUUUAAUUCGAUGAUACGCGAGGAACCUUACCUGGGCUUGAAAGUUAGUGACAUUCUGUGAAAGCAGAACUUCCGCAAGGACACGAAACUAGGUGCUGCAUGGCUGUCGUCAGCUCGUGCCGUGAGGUGUUGGGUUAAGUCCCGUAACGAGCGCAACCCCUAUCAUUAGUUGCCAUCAGGUCAUGCUGGGGACUCUAAUGAGACUGCCCGCGCAAGCGGUGAGGAAGGUGGGGACGACGUCAAGUCAUCACGGCCCUUACGUCCAGGGCUACACACGUGCUACAAUGGUAGAUACAGCAGGUUGCCACAUGGUAACAUGGAGCUAAUCCCAAAAGUCUAUCUCAGUUCGGAUUGAGGUCUGCAACUCGACCUCAUGAAGCUGGAUUCGCUAGUAAUCGAAAAUCAGCAAUGUUUCGGUGAAUACGUUCCCGGGCCUU